GAUGAACGCUGGCGGCGUGCCUAAUACAUGCAAGUCGAGCGGACAGAAGGGAGCUUGCUCCCGGAAGUUAGCGGCGGACGGGUGAGUAACACGUGGGCAACCUACCCUGUAGAUCGGGAUAACAUCGAGAAAUCGGUGCUAAUACCGGAUAAUCAUUUGAAGUGCAUGCUUCGAAUGUAAAAGAUGGCUCCGGCUAUCACUACGGGAUGGGCCCGCGGCGCAUUAGCUAGUUGGUAAGGUAAUGGCUUACCAAGGCAACGAUGCGUAGCCGACCUGAGAGGGUGAUCGGCCACACUGGGACUGAGACACGGCCCAGACUCCUACGGGAGGCAGCAGUAGGGAAUCUUCCGCAAUGGACGAAAGUCUGACGGAGCAACACCGCGUGAGUGAUGAAGGUUUUCGGAUCGUAAAGCUCUGUUGUUAGGGAAGAACAAGUGCCGUUUGAAUAAGGCGGCACCUUGACGGUACCUAACCAGAAAGCCACGGCUAACUACGUGCCAGCCGCCGCCGUAAAAC
rnacentral:rRNA from 1 species